AUUUAGAACAGGAGACAGCAGGUAGCUGUGUGUGGGCAGGAAGGUGAGGAGAGAGGAGCCGGUCUGCGUGGUCUAACUGGUGUUGAUGUGAAGCUUGGCACUAAUGACUGAGGAUUUCCUUGGAUACUCUUGCUCUUCUCUGUGUAGAUUGGAGAGUUUGGCAGAGGUCAGAGGUCAGAGAAGCGAGAAGAUGCACCAGGAAUGAGGGGAGCAGAGCACCACAGACGCCCCACGUUUCCAGGUGCCGUUGACCUGGAGCGAUGGCAAAAAAUAACUUGUGAAGAAAAUGAACGUGUCUAACUUGGAAUGGCAAGGAUUCACCCCACGCCAAACAAAUGGAAGCAUCAUCAGCGUCACUGUCAUCGUCGGCGUCCAGCAGACUUGUCUCCAGACGGUGAGGGAGGGAGGUCGUGUGCGUCACCAGCAGGCCAGGAAGAACGAGUCACCACGGACAGUGGGAACACCAGGUGCUCCAGAGGAUUUCCUGUCUCCAGGGCAGGGCGCUGUUUCUUGCCACACCUCUCCUCCUUGUUUCCACAAACAUCUUUGAAGAAAGGAAAUGGUACACUCAUUCCAGCCGAGCUGACGUCAGAGGUCUGGCCUCAUGUGUAA
rnacentral:lncRNA from 1 species